rnacentral:lncRNA from 10 species
GAGACUAAGGUGUCAGUAUGUUCUUCAAGCUGCUCUGCUCCUGGGCCCAAGCUAUUCUCCUGCCUCAGCCUUCCAAGAAGCUGAAACUACAAGAACACAAGACUGUACCUGGCUUGCAAACACCAUUGCUAAUAAGAAGAUAUUGUAAGACUGAUACCUAAGAGAUAAGAGGCAUGGAAACCUAAGGUCUGUACCCAAAACUACAGGACUAUUUGACAUCAUAAUAAAACACUGCAGAUAUGAUGCUGAGUAAGAGUAGAAAUGGGAAGACUUGGUUGUGCAGUAACUGAGUUCUUGAAAAGAGGAGAUGCUUGAUGAGGGCAUGGAUCACUAAGGUCUGUUCCCAAUACAAGAAGACUCUUUGACAUCAUAAUAAAAUACUGCAGAUACGAUGCUGAGUGAAAAAGAGUAGAAAUGGGAAGACUUGGU